AGUUUGCUUUGGUCUCUGUGGCAGAAGGAAAUUUGAUAACAUGGCAAAAGAGACGAAAAGGCAAAUUUUCCUGACUGGAAGUGCGUGACAUCCUUCCUUUUUAAGUCACUAAUGAUAGAAACAGGAGAGAGAGAAGGCUUCCUUCACCACCAUCCUCGAGCUCCGAUGUGCCACCUUGUACAUGCGGCCCUUCAUUAACUCAAUCCAUACUGAUAAACCGACUCCACACUUCAUUUUCCAAAACCUGGCUGGGCUACAGUGAGAGGCAAGGAUCCUUUCACGACAGAGGGAACAGUGUCAGUGCCUUCCCUUCUGAACCUUCUUCGGAUGAAUAUUUUACACAGACCGUUCACGAUGCGCGGCUGCAGGGUAACCUGGGGUAUUCUGGGGUCAUAGUGCCCCGCGCGGCGCUCACAGAGAGACAACUUUCUGUUCCCUGAGUUCAUCCUGGGUGCUUGGUAAUGAGCCGCCUGUCUAGGUCAUCUCAUGAGCACAUACAGGGUAUCGUAAAGCAAUCGUACCUAACAGCACUUCACGCCAUCUCUAAUUUCUUUCCAUUUCUCGGCUCAUAGUGCCCGUUCACUUAGCGGUAACCCUGUCCCAGGUUAAGCGAGGGGGGCGAAGUAACAGCCGUGACCACGCCCCCUAAGCUCUGAACUAUCCCGUCUGCGUCCUGUCCCUUGGCCUUCACACUGCUCACCAGACAGCUGCUAAGCGUUAAAGCAUGACGUAAGUCUGAUCCUCGUGGUCUCACCAACGGCACUAAACUCUCUGAAAGGGGCUGGACAAAAAAAAAAAAAAAUACUUUAGGCUCUGCAGGCCUUGCGGUCUGCAAUGUGUACAACCGGCAAUUAUUAUUUGCGGCAACACAACUUGUGUCAUUAAAGACAAGAGCCAGUGCUGUGGAGAUGGCACUGAAGAUGCAUCCCGGCUCGUUCGUUUCCACCCCCAAGAAGAAGUUCACUGUAUAGAAGCGAAACCCAACCCGUUCCACAUACAAUACAAACAAAAAUUCCGGCGCGAGCGCGACGCGUGAUGAAGGGAAAAGUCUGCCUUCGCAGGACGGGGUUUUACACGGACUCAGAGAAGCCAUCGGCAAAGCUGUGAGCAGAAGACAGGAGACGAGCAUUGAGCUGAGCAACAAAAGGAUGCUUGGAGACAGCCCUGGGUGGGAUGGGGCCGCUUACAAUCCCACGUGGUGAAGCAGCCAUUGCUGGCUCCCCCGGAGACACUGUGGAGAGGGAAAUAAGGUGGAGCUAACACUAUUCACUGUUUCGUUGGUAGAUUUUAAGAGAGAAGCUGUUACAUUUUCCUUUUUUCAUGCAAGAAAGACAAAAUGACUAAAAUAAUAAACCAUGUACGGUGAGGGCUCAGCACCCACCCAGUAGCACUGCAA